CUUUCUAAUCUCAAAUCCCACCACCAUCUCAUUUUCUUUAUCACUACUAUCACCACCACCACCACUAUACCUCCAUCAUCAUCUUCUUCACAUGCAGCAGCAACAACAACAACAACAACAAUAGAGAAAGCAGAGAAAAAACGGUUCUUCCUCACUGAACAGCAUCAACGACGAUAGUGGCAGUGACACCCACCGGCACCAUCGCCCUCUCCUCCUUCUCCGAUCUCUUGCGCGCUCUCUUCCUUCCAGACCAGCGACAACGACAGCGAUGGACUCAAUCAAUGGCGGCGACAGAUGUGAUGGAGCCGGCAGCAGCAGGGCGUGACGGCGGAGACAGCCCCCUUCCUUAGUUUUGGCUCGCAUCUCCUCUUUGGGCUCCCUCAACAACGGCGACGAUGAUGCGAUAGCGGCAGCGAGUCCCCACGUUGUCAGUGCGGUCUCGCUCCCCCUCCUCUUCUCCUCUUCUUCCUCGGGUGGGA
rnacentral:lncRNA from 1 species